rnacentral:lncRNA from 1 species
GCCUUUAGGGUCUUUCAGGAGAAGCAAACGAAUGCUGUAGCCCUGGGUGGGCCGCAGAAGUAGAUUGUAAAAGAUGAAAAUAUAAAUUUUAAUAAUUGAGAUUUUUAUAACCCAAGAAAAAAAUUUCUCAUGAAGAUUAGCCACUUCAAAAGCUUUAUCACAGAGGUUUGCCGCCACAGAGAGUUCAGCCUAAAUGUAAAGGCAGAUUACCCGAGUAUGACUGACUGCUCAGCCAGCUACUCAAGUUAGCAACCUGCAGGUUUCCUAAGAACUUUCAGUACCUCACAGAACAUGGGUCUGGGAAUUCUUUGUUUAGCUCUGCACCCCAUUUUCUAAUAGGGUUAUUUGGUUCUCUGGAGUCGAGUCUAACUUCUUAAGUUCUUUGUAUAUACUUGAUAUUAGCCCUCUAUCAGAUUUAGGAUUGGUAAAGAUCUUUUCCCAAUCUAUUGCUUGCCUUUUUGUCUUAUUGAAGUUGUCCUUUGCCUUACAGAAGCUUUGCAAUUUUAUGAGGUCGCAUUUGUCAAUUCUUGAUCUUACAGUGCAAGCCAUUGGUGUUCUGUUCAGGAAUUUUUCCCCUGUGCCCCUAUGUUCAAAGCUCUUCCAUACUUUCUUCUCUUCAAGUUUCAGUGUCUCUGGCUUUAUGUGGAGGUCCUUGAUCCCCUUGGAUUUAGUCCUUCUUAGAAGGGGGAAUCAAAAUGCCCAUGGAUGGAGUUACAGAGAAAAGUAUGAAGCAGAGAGUGAAGGAAUGAAGUCUCUGGAUAGAGACUGACCCAACUGAAGAUCCAUCCCAUAAACAACUACCAAAACCAGACACUAUUGUGGAUGCCAACAAGUGCUUGCUGAGAGGAGCCUGAUAUAGCUGUCUCCUGAGAGGGUUUGCUAGUGCCUGACAAAUACAGAAGUGGAUGCUCACAGCCAACCAUUGAAACAGAGCAUUAUGUAGUCAUCACUGUGGUGGGUGAACUCAACUCCCUCAGUGUUUACCAUCACAAGCAGGAAUGACUGCAGAUCCUAACAUCAUCCUGUGCAAUGACCUCAGUGGUGACAGGGAAGUGGGGACUAGAAGUAUGAACACGACCUGAAUGUGCGUUAUUUAUUUUUCUUCUGUGGCUGUUAAGACAGGGAGCCCCUCAGAAAUUGUCUUCCUGGGCCGUCAUCUACAUUCUGCCCCCAUUCCCUCCUGAUCUGGUUUCCUGAAUUUGAACUUUCCUACUUGAUUUCCCUGGACUAAGAUGCUCUUUCUCAUAGCCACCGGCUGUCUGGCCCUGCACUGCCCUCUAAGUACCACUCCAAGUAUCCUAUGCCUAGUAAUGCCUGGCAAACACCUAAGAUGAGACAUCAGAAGCAUGAACCACUACCCCCCCCCACACACACACACACACACUCUAAUAUUUUUGUUCUUUCUUCUUCUUUUGAGCAAUCAUCACUAAUCACACACUCUAUCUAUCUGUCUGUCUAUCUAUCUGUCUGUCUGUCUGUCUGUCUGUCUGUCUGUCUGUCUGUGUAUCUAUCUUUUUGUCUCCCACCCAAUCCAAGCACAGGAUUGUCUUUGCUUCUCUGUUUUCCUCCCAACUAGAGCACAGACUUGCCUUCACUUCUUCGUUUCCAGAGCCUAGAACUAAGUCUGGCACAUAAUAGGUAUCAUUUCAAUUAAAUGAGAAACACUUCUGGGGGUUGGGUACCAUGUAAAUGUGGAGGCAAUUUAAGACCAGGUAAAAGCUCUCUCUAACAUAAAAUGUUAGACUAUAUAUUUUAAAAGACCCAUGCUAUCCCCAAAAUAAAACCUUCAGUAUGAUGCUAAGCGUGUACUGAAUGUCUUUUAUUAAGAUUUCAGAAGGAAUGAAUGAUAUCAUCUUCAUAAAACACCGUGGGCUGGACGUGUAAGGAAAAGUGAGACAAAGCAUGAGGAAGAAUGAAGCAGGAAGUUGGAACUUCUUAUAUUCACUUGACAUACAUGUGUGCACACACACACACAUACACAUGCACACACUAUUUUUUAAAUCCUGAAUGGAAAUCACUCUAGAAAAGCAGAAUAAGGGAAGUGGGGUAGUAGAUGUGACUUCCCAGCCAAGGUGCCCCUCAUGAUGCAGGGUCAAGGUUAUCUCUGUACCGCGAUCACAUCCUGUCUGAAAGGGCUGACCCCUCUUAAGGAGACCUCCACAGCAAAGCCAGCCACUUAUCAUUGGCCUGGUAAUUGAGUGCUAAGUCCUAUUGAAUGGAAACAGAAGUGUUUCGGGAGAAAUUUCUCUAAGUCAAACUUCUUAACCUUCGGCACAGAGGCAGCUCUGCAGAUAAAGUGAGUUUCACGCGGUUUCUGAUCCUUCCCAGUGUCCACCUCCCAAGAGGUAGAUUUUUCCCUCAUGAUCUCUCUCCCUCUCUGUGUUCUUCCUGCUCCUGUUCAGAUCUCAUUUUUUUCUUUCCUUUCUUUCUUCCCCCACCCCUAUCCAGUCAGCAGGGAGGACUUCCCAUCUCUUACUGCCCUGCCUAUCCCAGGACAAGGUGUUGUUGUCUGUUACUGAAUUUUUGGUCAGGAUUCCAGAGACAAAAUCAAUGACAGAACUUUGAAGAGAUUUUAGCACUGUUCCAUGUGGCUUUGGGACUCUGUUGCCGAUUAAGGGGAAGAGAGGGCUGAAUUGAAGAACAUCUCUGAAGGAGUAUUUUUCCCACCUCUGCAGCAACCACCAGGAUGCAUUUCCUCCUGAUUUAUCACUUUGGACCCUGAAGCUGGAUUCUAUUCAUUGGCUAAUUUAGUGUGGUCUCCCCCACCAAGCCAUGGUUAUACAAGAUUCUCAAAGUUUUAGAAUAUGCAUGAAGUGUCAGAAGGAGGCCCAGCAUCCUAAAUGCUUUUUUUUUUCCUUCCUUAAUCUAGUCACCCAUUAAAAUAAUCACUUACCCUGACAGUGUCAGUAAAUUUUAAUGAAUUAUUCAGGAAUUUGCAUUUGUUUCCAGGUAAGCCAAUCUUAAUUUCACCAAGGGUAUGAAGUCUCCAACUCUGCCCACAGUGCCAUAUAAUAGUUCUCAUAACCAAAAGCAAUAUAUAAAGUUCCAUUCCCUGUAGUUCAACAAGAUGUUAUAUCCUCAAAUUCUGCAACUAGUCCGGGUCUUCUUCCAAGACAGGAGGCAAUGUUGUCUUGAGACAUGAAUUAAUGCUUAGGAUAAGUUAUCCAACCUUCAAUUCUAGUAUAAUCUUUAGCUUUCAAAUACGUUUAAGAAGUAUGGGGAGAGGAAGUCUCAACUUCUACACAAUGAAAGACAAAAGUAUGGAGACAUUCAAAGGGACAGCCCUGAAGGUCACUACAGAGACCUGAUGGUAUUUCUUUGUCACAGAAUUUACUUCCUGCUCUCAAGUCCCAUGAACGUCCCCAGCCAGCUCUAACAAGAAGCCUUGCUGGGGCUUCCCAGCUCCUAAAAAGGAUUGAAAACCAAGAAAUGAGGUUGAGGACAUAUCCAUUUUCUUCUUCCAAUAGCAAGGCUUGACUAUCCACUGUGUCAGUGUUCAUAACUGCUACAAGUAAGGCACACUAAACUGUCAAAUGUGCAGUCCAAAUGAUAAAGGUACAAUACUGAUACCUGAACAGGGACACUAGCAGGUGGAACUAUUAUCCUCUACCUGGAAGGGUUGGGAAGGUUUCCAUCUGACCUGACAUCUCCUAGGUAUUGAAGGAUGAGUAAGUUUCGUCCCAGAAAAGACAAUGAGAAUGGGUUUUGGUAUUGAAACCCAAA